rnacentral:misc_RNA from 1 species
GAGGGGUCGAGGGAGGGGUGGUGGUAAUUUCCGUGGACGUGGAAGAGGAGGAUACAAUGGACCUCCAUUUGAUUUACAGCAAGAUGGAGGAUACAACCAAGACUUACCACCUCAAGGCCGUGGGCGUGGACGCGGAAGGGGCGGGUAUCGCGGAAGGGGCCGUGGUUUCAGGACUAAUGGAGGGCCGAUCCAAGCAGCUGCAUGAGGUGCUGAAAGGUUAAAAUCCUAAUUUUAUGCAAUUAUGAUGGAUGAGUCCUUAAUGUAUCAUUAGGAUUUUCUCUUUUAGUUGCCAUUUGCAAAGGACAACU